GAUGAAGAACGCAGCGAAAUGCGAUACGUAAUGUGAAUUGCAGAUUUCAGUGAAUCAUCGAAUCUUUGAACGCACAUUGCGCCCCUUGGUAUCCCGAGGGGCAUGCCUGUUCGAGCGUCAUUUCACCACUCAAGCCUGGCUUGGUGUUGGGCGACGUCCCCUUUGGGGACGCGCCUCGAAACGCUCGGCGGCGUGGCACCGGCUUUAAGCGUAGCAGAAUCUUUCGCUUUGGAAGUCGGGGCCCCGUCUGCCGGAAGACCUACUCGCAAGGUUGACCUCGGAUCAGGCAGGGAUACCCGCUGAACUUAAGCAUAUCAAUAAGCGGAGGA
rnacentral:misc_RNA from 1 species